CUCUGUAGCUCUCGCCUGGUCACCCUCUGAAGCUAAGCACCAUUGAGCCUGGUCCGUACCUGGAUGGGAGACCUCCUGAGGAAAACUAGUUUGCUCCUGGAA
ensembl:rRNA 5S_rRNA 5S ribosomal RNA